rnacentral:tRNA from 1 species
AGCUUUUUAGUUUAUUUAAAAUUUUUGUUUGUGGUACAAAGGAAUUUUUAAGGCUA